rnacentral:lncRNA from 1 species
UUUUGCUAUAUAUAUUCUUUGUUUCAUGCAGACUAAAACUCAUCCACUCCCCCCAAUUACUAAACCCACUUCUUCCCUCCCCCUUCAUCAUCUUUUCUAUAAAGAUUAGCCCCUUAAUAACCACACACAAUUUGGGGCUUCAGGGGAUCAACUGUGAUCUCCGGUCAACUAAAUGGCGACUUUCGGUGGCCGCCGAAUGGGUUUGCUUUGGCCCCAUUUGGCCGUCGCUGUAGCCUUGUCUAUCUUAGCAUGCAAUGUGGGAUCUGCCGAUGGUGAUGCUGCCUACGUUUACUCCUCUCCUCCUCCGCCGUAUGAGUACAAAUCGCCGCCACCUCCUUCCCCUUCCCCACCUCCUCCUUAUCUUUACAAGUCGCCGCCACCUCCUUCACCGUCUCCUCCUCCUCCUCCUUAUGUGUACAAGUCACCGCCACCUCCUUCACCGUCCCCACCACCACCAUACGUGUACAAGUCGCCACCACCACCUUCCCCGUCUCCGCCACCACCAUAUGAGUACAAGUCGCCGCCACCACCUUCCCCGUCUCCACCACCACCAUAUGAGUACAAAUCUCCUCCUCCACCAUCACCGUCACCUCCCCCCCCUUACCACCACUCCUCUCCACCACCACCUUCGCCAUCUCCUCCUCCACCUUACCACGACUCCUCUCCACCACCACCUUCGCCAUCUCCUCCUCCACCUUACCACGACUCCUCUCCACCACCACCUUCGCCAUCUCCUCCUCCACCUUACCACGACUCCUCUCCACCACCACCUUCGCCAUCUCCUCCUCCACCUUACCACGACUCCUCUCCACCACCACCUUCGCCAUCUCCUCCUCCACCUUACCACGACUCCUCUCCACCACCACCAUAUGAGUACAAAUCUCCUCCUCCACCAUCACCGUCACCUCCCCCACCUUACGAGUACAAGUCUCCUCCUCCUCCUUCACCGUCACCACCGCCACCAUACUACUACAAGUCACCGCCGCCACCAUCACCCUCUCCUCCUCCACCAUACUACUAUAAAUCUCCACCACCACCUUCUCCAUCUCCGCCGCCACCUUACCACUACUCUUCUCCACCACCACCUAAGAAAUCACCUCCACCACCAUACUACUACAAAUCUCCACCACCACCUUCGCCAUCUCCUCCUCCACCUUACCACUACUCCUCUCCACCACCACCUAAAAAAUCACCUCCACCACCAUACUACUAUAAGUCUCCACCACCACCUUCACCAUCUCCUCCACCACCGUACUACUAUAAGUCUCCGCCGCCACCAUCACCCUCUCCUCCACCACCAUACUAUUAUAAAUCCCCACCACCACCUUCACCAUCUCCUCCACCGCCGUACUACUACAAGUCCCCACCACCACCUUCUCCGUCUCCUCCACCACCAUAUUACUACAAAUCUCCACCACCGCCAUCACCAUCACCUCCACCACCAUACUACUACAAAUCUCCACCACCGCCAUCACCAUCACCUCCACCACCAUACUACUACACAUCCCCAAAUCUCCACCACCGCCAUCACCAUCACCUCCACCACCAUACUACUACAAAUCCCCUCCACCUCCGGCGAAAUCUCCCCCACCACCUCCGUACUAUUACAAGUCUCCGCCGCCACCUAAGGCUUACCCUCCUCCUUACCACUACACAUCACCGCCGCCGCCUGCAGUCUAUCCUCAUGAUCUGACUGUCAAGGUUGUCGGAAAAGUGUAUUGCUAUAGAUGUUAUGACUGGGCUUACCCAAAAAAGUCACACGACAAGAAGCACCUUAAAGGUAUAAUAAUUAUUUAAUAACUUCCCGUUAUAUGAAACUUAGUUGUUUUUAAUGCAUGAUAAAUUUAUCAUGUGUCGCUGUACAAAUGCUAGUUCCCACUAAGAAUCAACAUAAAAAUCUCCACCAUAUUUCUGCAUGUUUUGGCAUAUAUGUUGUAGUGGACUUAGUAUUAUUUUGUAUAAUUAAUUAUAAACAAAUUAAAACAGCUCUUUGAUUGUCCCAUUUGCCAAAUUAUUAAAGACCACCAAGUCAGAGUGAUAUUUGGCAAUUGGCAUCUCUGUUUUUUUUUCCUUUUUUUACUUAUUUAAAAAUACUGAAAUACCUACUCAGUGGAAAAUAAUAUGGAAAUGAUUAUUUUAAGGUUGUCAUGUAGUAACGUGCUUGACCACUGACAAAUAAAACUAAACAAAUAUAAUUAGUUAUGGUCUUGUUUUGAGAAAAUUGUGAUGCUGACGUGUGAUGUUGAUUGUCUCUUAACGACUUUUCUCUCCAACAGGAGCCGUGGUGGAAGUAACUUGCAAGGCAGGGGAAAAGGAAAUCAAGGCGUACGGGAAGACCAAAAUCAACGGCAAAUAUAGCAUCACCGUCGACGGAUUCGAGUACGGCAAAUAUGGAGCCAAGGCUUGCACAGCUAAGCUUCACGCGCCGCACAAGGGUUCCAAGUGUAGCAUCCCGACCAAGCUUCACGGCGGAAACAAGGGUGCCGAGCUGAAAGUGAAGUCCAAGGAUUACCACUUGAUUGUGUUGCAGGCUAAGUCGUUUGCUUAUGCUCCUAAGAAGCCUUAUGCAGAGUGUGAGAAGCCUAAGCCAAAACCCACACCUCCUAGUCCUUACUACUACAAGUCCCCACCUCCUCCUCCUCCAGCUUACGUGUACAAGUCCCCGCCACCACCGGCUUACGUGUACAAGUCUCCGCCCCCUCCUUCACCUAAGCCAUACUACUAUAAGUCACCUCCUCCUCCAACUUACGUGUACAAAUCACCUCCACCACCGGCUUACGUGUACAAGUCUCCGCCCCCUCCUUCACCUAAGCCAUACUACUAUAAGUCACCUCCUCCUCCAACUUACGUGUACAAAUCACCUCCACCACCGGCUUACAUGUACAAGUCACCGCCACCCCCUUCACCUAAGCCAUACUACUAUAAGUCACCCCCUCCUCCGACUUACGUGUACAAGUCACCUCCACCACCUGCUUACGUGUACAAGUCACCGCCACCUCCUUCACCUAAGCCAUACUACUACAAGUCACCACCACCACCAUCUCCAUCACCGCCGCCUCCUUACUAUUACAAGUCUCCACCACCACCGUCGCCUAAGCCAUACUACUACAAGUCCCCACCACCACCAUCUCCUUCGCCACCACCACCAUACUACUACAAGUCCCCACCGCCGCCAUCACCUAAGCCAUACUACUAUAAAUCUCCACCACCACCAUCACCUAAGCCAUACUACUACAAGUCUCCCCCUCCACCAUCUCCUUCACCACCACCACCUUACUACUACAAAUCUCCACCACCACCGUCACCUUCCCCACCACCACCUUACUACUACAAAUCCCCACCUCCGCCAUCACCAUCUCCACCACCACCGUACUAUUACAAAUCUCCCCCACCUCCGUCACCAUCACCACCGCCUCCUUCGUACUAGCAAUACCCACCCCCACCAUCCCCAUCACCCCACAACCCCCCCCCCCCCCCCCCCCCCCCCCCACCGCCUCCUUACUACUACAAAUCUCCACCCCCACCAUCCCCAUCACCCCCUCCUCCUUACUACUACAAGUCUCCACCACCACCGUCUCCCUCACCUCCUCCACCAUACUACUACAAGUCUCCACCUCCUCCGUCGCCAUCUCCACCACCACCAUACUACUACAAAUCUCCCACACCACCAUCAUCGUCACCGCCACCUCCUUACCACUACAAGUCUCCCCCACCACCAUCACCAUCUCCACCACCACCAUACUACUACAAGACCCCUCCUCCUCCNNNNNNNNNNNNNNNNNNNNNNNNNNNNNNNNNNNNNNNNNNNNNNNNNNNNNNNNNNNNNNNNNNNNNNNNNNNNNNNNNNNNNNNNNNNCCACCACCACCAUACUACUACAAAUCUCCCCCACCACCAUCUCCCUCACCUCCACCACCGUACUACUACAAGUCUCCACCACCACCAUCACCUUCACCACCACCACCAUACUACUACAAAUCUCCACCACCUCCUUCCCCAUCACCGCCACCUCCUUACCACUACAAGUCUCCCCCACCACCAUCACCAUCUCCACCACCACCAUACUACUACAAGUCCCCUCCUCCUCCCUCACCGUCUCCACCACCACCAUACUACUACAAAUCCCCACCACCACCGUCGUCAUCACCCCCUCCUCCAUACCACUACAGCUCACCUCCCCCACCGGUGAAAUCACCACCACCACCGGCAUACAUCUAUUCAUCUCCCCCACCACCAGCCCACUACUAGGCUCAAACGCCUCGGCAACAAACCACCAAUGUAAGUUUCUAUUACUCCUCUCAAUUCCAUCAAAACGCUAUAGCAAUUCAUUCAUACGUUAUUACAGCUUUCCUAACAGUACUACUUUCCCAUUUCAGAUUUAAGAAUUGACAAUGUAAUAAAAGAAGGCUCCAAUCAUGGUCUGAUAAACCCAAUAUCAUCAAUUAGUGCCAAUAAUAACAACAGCCGAUAUGGCUCAGUAUGCAGAGUUGCGAUCCUGCACAUGGCAAUGUUGCUGUGUUCAUCAUCAUCAAGUGGGGUACUGUUGUUCAAGAAGAGACGACAUUUGGGAAAUUAAGCAACUAUUCUUAGUUAGUUAUCGGAGUUGAUGAUCAAUUGGGUUUUUCAGAGUUAUUUGUUUAGUUGAUGUAUGUAUGUAAAAUCUAUUUGUUAUUUAGUUUUCCAGCUUUGAUUUUUUUGUUGGGGAGGAUUUGGGAAAUGCGUGCGUACUUUUGUUCUUAUAUUAUAUAAAUUAUUAUUAAAUGUUUUAUGUUUGGGGGAAGCAACGUAAAUUUGAUGUAAUUGUAAUUUUUUAUUGGAGCUUCUUGUACUUCAAUUUGUCCCGCCUCCCGAUUGUGAGUAAUCAAGUAAAGCCAUUUCAUAUUUCUAAUUUUUGGUUCAAUUUCGGCCGAAAUUCGCAUUCAAGUCGGAAUUAGUGAUUUCAUCCCAACUAAAAAUGGAUUGAUGAG